GCCCUUAAGGACUAGCGGUUAGGCCAUUGCGCUCUCACCGCAGCGGCCCGGGUUUGAUUCCUGGCCAGAGAA